UUGACCUCGGAUCAGGUAGGGAUACCCGCUGAACUUAAGCAUAUCAAUAAGCGGAGGAAAAGAAACCAACAGGGAUUGCCCCAGUAACGGCGAGUGAAGCGGCAACAGCUCAAAUUUGAAAUCUGGCCCCCGGGCCCGAGUUGUAAUUUGCAGAGGAUGCUUCGGGCGCGGCGCCUCCCAAGUCCCCUGGAACGGGGCGCCUGAGAGGGUGAGAGCCCCGUACGGUUGGACGCCUAGCCCUUGUGAAGCUCCUUCGACGAGUCGAGUAGUUUGGGAAUGCUGCUCAAAAUGGGAGGUAGACCCCUUCUAAAGCUAAAUACCGGCCAGAGACCGAUAGCGCACAAGUAGAGUGAUCGAAAGAUGAAAAGCACUUUGAAAAGAGGGUUAAACAGCACGUGAAAUUGUUGAAGGGGAAGCGCUUGUGACCAGACCUGCGCCGGGGCGAUCAUCCGGCGUUCUCGCCGGUGCACUCGCCCCGGCUCAGGCCAGCGUCGGUUCGGGCGGGGGGAGAAAUGCGCCGGGAACGUGGCUCCCCCGGGAGUGUUAUAGCCCGGCGCGUCAUGUCCCCGCCUGGACCGAGGUUCGCGCUCUGCAAGGACGCUGGCGUAAUGGUCACCAGCGGCCCGUCUUGAAACACGGACCAAGGAGUCGAGGUUCUGCGCGAGUGUCUGGGUGCCAAACCCGCACGCGCAAUGAAAGUGAACGUAGGUGGGAGCUUCGGCGCACCACCGACCGAUCCUGAUGUUCUCGGAUGGAUUUGAGUAGGAGCGUAGGGCCUCGGACCCGAAAGGUGGUGAACUAUGCUUGGAUAGGGUGAAGCCAGAGGAAACUCUGGUGGAGGCUCGCAGCGGUUCUGACGUGCAAAUCGAUCGUCAAAUCUGAGCAUGGGGGCGAAAGACUAAUCGAACCAUCUAGUAGCUGGUUACCGCCGAAGUUUCCCUCAGGAUAGCAGUGUUGUAUUCAGUUUUAUGAGGUAAAGCGAAUGAUUAGGGACUCGGGGGCGCUAUUUUGCCUUCAUCCAUUCUCAAACUUUAAAUAUGUAAGAAGCCCCUGUUGCUUAGUUGAACGGGGGCCU
rnacentral:rRNA from 1 species